UAACUUAUGUAAUAGAUCGAUCCACUAAGACUAAGGUAUUGAGCGGCGGUGUAGGAUCAAAUCCCAAAGAUAGUAAGUCUUUUCUUUCUUACUUAUGAAGGAAAGCCUUUUUCAAAGAUUCUAUAUAAAUUUCGAUAUGAAACCGAGAUAGUUACCUUGCGGAAAAUACGCCGGAUAAGAGUAAAUACCUAUGCUUUAUUCUUCUGCAGGUGGGAGAAAAGAUAAAACUGAAACUGAUUCUUAAUUAAAUCAAAAUGAAAGUUUGAAACUCAUGUAUUAACCUCUUUUAGUUACUCUGAACAGUGGGAUAUAGAUGUAUAAGAAAUCUCAUUCAGUUUAAUAGGGCACCAAAUGAAUUGACUGCGGAGCCGUAUGAGGUUGGAAACUCUGAAGUACGGUUCUAAGGGAAGGAAUUGACCCGCCUAUUCCUAUUCCGACCGGGAGAACAGGCCAUUCAACAGGGAGAUUCUGAAAUUGCGGAGGCUUGGUUCGAUCAAGCCGCUGAGUAUUGGAAACAGGCUAUAACGCUUACUCCUGGGAAUUAUAUUGAAGCGCAUAAUUGGUUGAAGAUCACGGGGCGGUUCGAAUAAAACAAUAAUAAUUCUUAUUAUUUCUAAUUUUUUUGUUAUUUGUUAGAAUUAUUAGUCAAAUAGAAUGGAAUCAUUCUUCGAGAAAGAACCAAUCAAAGAAUUUCUUUAUAUCCCUUUUCAGAUCGUUAUAGAGUACAGAAUCAUUUUAUUUCUUUUCGUCUAUUAGCUAUUAAUACAAAUAAAUUACUAUUUCAAAUAUAAAAAAUAACAUUUUUUUUCUUUUUUUAAAAGAAAAUCGAAUUCUAAUAUAUAAUAAUUAAAAACAAAUCUUAAUAAAUAUAGAAUAAUGAAUAAUAUUUCUAUACAUAGAAAUAUUAUUCAUUAUUCUAAAAUAAAAUACUAAUAAAAUAUUAAAAAAAAUGCUUCGAAUGACUAAAUACUGAGAUGUUUCUUAGUAAUGACUAACAAUUCUUCGUGUGAUUUUUAAUAUUUUGACUCGAGUAUUUUUUAAUAGAAUCCAGAAUAAUUAAAAUAUUCUAUGUAACACAUUAAGUAGCCCCAUCUAAUAUCUUCUAAUUGAGAUACAAAUAGUCUGCUUUUGUAGAACUAGAGAGGUUUUCUUUAUUUUUUUUUUCUCUUUGCAACUUCCUUGUUUACUUUUUAAAAUCCCACGUUUCAUGAGUUGUAAUUGUAUUUUUAUUUUUUGUAUUUUUUCUUUUUGUUUUCUUUCAUUUUUAUUCUCCUUUUACUACUUGUAACAUUUCUUAUUAAUUGUUUUCCUUUUCUUUUUCAAACCCAUUUCUUGUUUUAUCACGUGAAACUUGACAACUAAGAAGUUGAUAAGUUUCUUUUGUCUCUUUUGCAGACUUUCUUUUUCUUUUAUUCAUUUAUUAUUAUUUAUCAUUUUCUUUUGUAGUUUUUUUUCAAACUAAACCCUUAUACUUUUAGUACUUGAUCCUUCUAAACUUUUAGAGUAUAGUAGCUACUCCCUUUAAUUUAACAAAUUUUAAUUAAUUUCGGGUAUUAUAUAUUGUAAUACCCCGAACCUUAAACUCGUUUUAUUAAUUACGAAUUAUAUUUAUUAGCAUAAUUACGUCCUAAAUUUUUUUUGAAAUUAAUCUGGAGAAAGUUAUUUUAUAAAAUAAGUAUAUUCAUAUUACUUUAAUGAUGUUUAUUAUGGUAAAUGAUUCUAUUUACAAUAUAGUUUUAUGACUUCAAUAUUAUAGAUACAAGUCAAAGUAAAUAGCAAAGUUUAACAUUUUGACAUCCAAAGGAAAUGAGAAAGAAAAAGGAUUGAAGGGAGCUGGUGUUCAGCUUUUCCCAAACCCACGGUCAAGUUUCAACACCCACCACCUACCUCCUUGUCCCCUACAUUAAUCUUCCUUAAUUGAACCACCAUUCAGCAUCUUUCCACCUCCAUUUUUGUCUCCAGAAAUCUGUCUUUAAAUGCACAUUGAAACUAGGCUUCAAUUACAAACUUAAAACCACAAGAAAUCACAAAGAAUUUCUUCUCCUCUUAUUCCUUCUCUCUCUCCCCUGUUUCGGAUCUCACACCAACACCACCACAAUCUGCCGCCAGCUCGCACGUCGCAAGACAGUCGCCGGUCACUUUUGCGGCACUCGCCGACCACCUGCAGCUCGUCGGAGCUUCACCUGCAUCUCGCGCACUCUCUCUCUCCUCCUCGUGCUCUCUCUCGUCGCUCCUCUUCGUUGCUGCUGCCGCUCGUGUUUCCGCCGCCACCGGAGCUUCGAGGACCGCCGUAGGUCUUCUGUGUCGUCGCCGGCUUCCACCGCCUCAGCUGGAGUUCGCCGGAGCUCGUUUUCUGCUUUGUGCGUCCCUGCUCUAAGUAAGCAGAGGUAUUAUAAAGAUAGCUCAGGAUCAGUUAUGUCAAGGAUGCUCCAGGAAUGCUGAGUUGAAGCGACUUUGUGUAUAUUUGGGUUAUCUAGAAUACUCUGUAUUUAUGGGUAGUAUCUAUUGCUUAAUGAUGUUCUUUUGUUUGUUUAA